rnacentral:tRNA from 1 species
GGGAUGAUAGUUUAACUAAAACGUGAAAUUGCAAAUUUCAAAAUAUUUUUUUCACCCCU